AGAGUUUGAUCCUGGCUCAGAACGAACGCUGGCGGCAGGCUUAACACAUGCAAGUCGAGCGCCCCGCAAGGGGAGCGGCAGACGGGUGAGUAACGCGUGGGAAUCUACCCAUCUCUACGGAAUAACGCAUGGAAACGUGUGCUAAUACCGUAUACGUCCUUCGGGAGAAAGAUUUAUCGGAGAUGGAUGAGCCCGCGUUGGAUUAGCUAGUUGGUGGGGUAAAGGCCUACCAAGGCGACGAUCCAUAGCUGGUCUGAGAGGAUGAUCAGCCACACUGGGACUGAGACACGGCCCAGACUCCUACGGGAGGCGGCAGUGGGGAAUAUUGGACAAUGGGCGCAAGCCUGAUCCAGCCAUGCCGCGUGAGUGAUGAAGGCCCUAGGGUUGUAAAGCUCUUUCACCGG
rnacentral:rRNA from 1 species